UGGGGAAUAUUGCACAAUGGGGGAAACCCUGAUGCAGCGACGCCGCGUGAACGAAGAAGGUAUUCGUAUCGUAAAGUUCUGUCCUAUGGGAAGAUAAUGACAGUACCAUAGAAGAAAGCUCCGGCUAAAUACGUGCCAGCAGCCGCGGUAAUACGUAUGGAGCGAGCGUUGUCCGGAAUUAUUGGGCGUAAAGGGUACGCAGGCGGUUUAAUAAGUCGAAUGUUAAAGAUCGGGGCUCAACCCCGCAAAGCAUUGGAAACUGAUAAACUUGAGCAGUGGAGAGGACAGUGGAAUUCCUAGUGUAGUGGUGAAAUACGUAGAUAUUAGGAGGCAUACCAGUAGCGAAGGCGACUUUCUGGACACAAACUGACGCUGAGGUACGAAAGCGUGGGGAGCAAACAGG
rnacentral:rRNA from 1 species